rnacentral:snRNA from 1 species
GGAUGUGAGGGCAAGCUGGCUGCAGCACCUGUCACCCCAUCAGUCAUCGGGGUUGGUUCAUGUGGCCUGGCUGUCCAGAUGGGGUCUCCUUCCUCAUGGCUCCACGUGCAUCCCUCCCCAGCUGCACGCUUGGUCAAAGAGGAGGAAGGCUCUUGGAUCAAGGGUAUAUGAGUGGCUGUGGUACCCAACUAGGACCUCCAAGCUUCCAAGACUCCAGGCACAGCCAAGUGAUGUGCUGCACACAGCCAUCUGCCUUGCUUU